GAUGAACGCUAGCUACAGGCUUAACACAUGCAAGUCGAGGGGCAGCAUGGUCUUAGCUUGCUAAGGCCGAUGGCGACCGGCGCACGGGUGAGUAACACGUAUCCAACCUGCCGUCUACUCUUGGACAGCCUUCUGAAAGGAAGAUUAAUACAAGAUGGCAUCAUGAGUCCGCAUGUUCACAUGAUUAAAGGUAUUCCGGUAGACGAUGGGGAUGCGUUCCAUUAGAUAGUAGGCGGGGUAACGGCCCACCUAGUCUUCGAUGGAUAGGGGUUCUGAGAGGAAGGUCCCCCANAUUGGAACUGAGACACGGUCCAAACUCCUACGGGAGGCAGCAGUGAGGAAUAUUGGUCAAUGGACGAGAGUCUGAACCAGCCAAGUAGCGUGCAGGAUGACGGCCCUAUGGGUUGUAAACUGCUUUUAUAAGGGAAUAAAGUGGGAGUCGUGACUCUUUUUGCAUGUACCUUAUG
rnacentral:rRNA from 1 species